GUCGGUCUGUCCGUCUCUCCUCUAGAGAACCAGGUCUGUCUGUCCGUCUCUCCUCUAGAGAACCAGGUCGGUCUGUCCAUCUCUCCUCUAGAGAACCAGGUCGGUCUGUCCGUCUCUCCUCUAGAGAACCAGGUCUGUCUGUUCGUAUCUCCUCCAGAGAACCAGGUCUGUCUGUUCGUAUCUCCUCCAGAGAACCAGGUCUGUCUGUUCGUAUCUCCUCCAGAGAACCAGGUCUGUCUGUCUGUUCGUCUCUCCUCCAGAGAACCAGGUCUGUCUGUCCGUCUCUCCUCUAGAGAACCAGGUCUGUCUGUCCAUCUCUCCUCUAGAGAAGCAGGUCUGUCUGUCUGUCCAUCUCUCCUCUAGAGAAGCAGGUCUGUCUGUCUGUCUGUCCGUCUCUCCUCUAGAGAACCAGGUCUGUCUGUCUGUCUGUCCGUCUCUCCUCUAGAGAACCAGGUCUGUCUGUUCGUCUCUCCUCCAGAGAACCAGGUCUGUCUGUCCGUCUCUCCUCUAGAGAACCAG
ensembl:lncRNA